ACAACAUCUUUAUCCUGAGGUUCUGACAAGCUUCCCUUUUCAGCAGGAAUAGUUUUUAUCUCAGGAAGAACAUUUCCAUUUUCAGUAACUGGCUCUGUUAUCGUCUCAUUAUUCUUUUCACCCUGUACUGCAGGCUCUGAAACAAAGUUUGAAGCCCUCGAAUACCAUCCUGGAUCUUCCUCCUCCAAUAUUUUCACAAAAAGACGCAUUGCCUCUGUGGAAACCAUGUUUCCAAGCCCAUUCCAGCUUGUCCAUUUACUUUGUUCUACUGGACUCCAACUUCUA
rnacentral:misc_RNA from 1 species